rnacentral:misc_RNA from 1 species
AAGUCGUAACAAGGUUUCCGUAGGUGAACCUGCGGAAGGAUCAUUAACACUUUUUAUUAUUUUGUUUUUUUUCUAAAACAAAAUUUAAAACCCCACAAUUUUGGAUGAAUUUAAUUAAUUUAUUUUUUAUUUUAUUUUUUUUUUAUUAUAACCCUAUUAUUUGACUAACAUUUUUAUUUAAUUAUUAAAAAAUUAAAAAAACAACUCAUAACAACGGAUAUCUUGGCUCUC